rnacentral:rRNA from 1 species
GCUCAGGACGAACGCUGGCGGCGCGCCUAACACAUGCAAGUCGAACGAGCGAGAGAGAGCUUGCUUUCUCAAGCGAGUGGCGAACGGGUGAGUAACGCGUGAGGAACCUGCCUCAAAGAGGGGGACAACAGUUGGAAACGACUGCUAAUACCGCAUAAGCCCACGACCCGGCAUCGGGUAGAGGGAAAAGGAGCAAUCCGCUUUGAGAUGGCCUCGCGUCCGAUUAGCUAGUUGGUGAGGUAACGGCCCACCAAGGCGACGAUCGGUAGCCGGACUGAGAGGUUGAACGGCCACAUUGGGACUGAGACACGGCCCAGACUCCUACGGGAGGCAGCAGUA